CGGACGGGUGAGUAACGCGUGGAUAACCUGCCUUACACUGGGGGAUAACACUUAGAAAUAGGUGCUAAUACCGCAUAAGCGCACAGAGCCGCAUGGCUCAGUGUGAAAAACUCCGGUGGUGUAAGAUGGAUCCGCGUCUGAUUAGCUGGUUGGCGGGGUAGAAGCCCACCAAGGCGACGAUCAGUAGCCGGCCUGAGAGGGUGAACGGCCACAUUGGGACUGAGACACGGCCCAAACUCCUACGGGAGGCAGCAG
rnacentral:rRNA from 1 species